GACGAACGCUGGCGGCGUGCUUAACACAUGCAAGUCGAACGGGAAGGCCCUUCGGGGUACACGAGUGGCGAACGGGUGAGUAACACGUGGGUGAUCUGCCCUGCACUUCGGGAUAAGCCUGGGAAACUGGGUCUAAUACCGGAUAGGACUCCUGGCUUCAUGGUUGGGGGUGGAAAGCUUUUGCGGUGUGGGAUGGGCCCGCGGCCUAUCAGCUUGUUGGUGGGGUAAUGGGCUACCAAGGCGACGACGGGUAGCCGGCCUGGGAGGGUGACCGGUCACACUGGGACUGAGAUACGGCCCAGACUCCUACGGGAGGCAGCAGUGGGGAAUAUUGCACAAUGGGCGCAAGCCUGAUGCAGCGACGCCGCGUGAGGGAUGACGGCCUUCGGGUUGUAAACCUCUUUCAGCUAUGACGAAGCGCAAGUGACGGUAGUAGCAGAAGAAGGACCGGCCAACUACGUGCCAGCCGCCGCGGUAA
rnacentral:rRNA from 1 species